AGAGUUUGAUCCUGGCUCAGGAUAAACGCUGGCGGCGUGCCUAACACAUGCAAGUCGAACGCCCUUCUUCGGAAGGGAGUGGCGGACGGGUGAGUAACACGUGGGUAUCUACCAUCGGGUGAGGAAUACCGGCGAGAAAUCGCCGACAAUACCGCAUACGCUCGCAAGAGCAAAGCUCGCAAGGGCGCCUGAUGAUGAGC
rnacentral:rRNA from 1 species